rnacentral:rRNA from 1 species
ACUCCUACGGGAGGCAGCAGUAGGGAAUCUUCCGCAAUGGACGAAAGUCUGACGGAGCAACGCCGCGUGAGUGAUGAAGGCUUUCGGGUCGUAAAACUCUGUUGUUAGGGAAGAACAAGUACGAGAGUAACUGCUCGUACCUUGACGGUACCUAACCAGAAAGCCACGGCUAACUACGUGCCAGCAGCCGCGGUAAUACGUAGGUGGCAAGCGUUAUCCGGAAUUAUUGGGCGUAAAGCGCGCGCAGGCGGUUUCUUAAGUCUGAUGUGAAAGCCCACGGCUCAACCGUGGAGGGUCAUUGGAAACUGGGGAACUUGAGUGCAGAAGAGAAAAGCGGAAUUCCACGUGUAGCGGUGAAAUGCGUAGAGAUGUGGAGGAACACCAGUGGCGAAGGCGGCUUUUUGGUCUGUAACUGACGCUGAGGCGCGAAAGCGUGGGGAGCAAACAGGAUUAGAUACCCUGGUAGUCCACGCCGUAAACGAUGAGUGCUAAGUGUUAGAGGGUUUCCGCCCUUUAGUGCUGCAGCUAACGCAUUAAGCACUCCGCCUGGGGAGUACGGUCGCAAGACUGAAACUCAAAGGAAUUGACG